GGGCAUUAGCCUUCAAGAGCACCUCCCGGCCAGCGCAGCUAAGUGGUUCGCACCCCAGCCAUGGAUAAAGCUCCUAAUCCUAUCUGCAGAGUAGUCAAAAGUAGGCUCAGCAGCCCGGCCCACUGCAGUCGGCAAACCCAGAGUUAGCACUGAAGAAUACAGCAGAUUUUUGCUUGUUUACGUCCAGAACCUCUAUGGUAAUUUUCCAAAAUUCCAGCCAGCCUAUCGGCCUUCUUCAUCUACAGAUCUACUUGCUCUUGUGCUGCAGGCCGCUGGAGGGGACUAAGGUAGAGCAGCAGCGACACUGUUGGUAGUUAAGGAAUGUGAAUAACUGCUUCCAUUUUACUCCUGAAGCAGAGUUCUUUGAAAUGGUGGGCUGGUAAAUUCCCCAAGAUGCUUGUGAAGUUGUGAGAGUUCUAAAGCUACUUUGAAGUGUGGAAACGUGGAAUGCGAUUCCAAAGAUCUUUUGGUCAGACAAAGUUCUAUUCCAAAGAUCUCCUUCACGCAGGAGUGUCCUACACUUCUGCAAGAAUAUUUCAAUAUACAAAACGUCAAUAGGAGACAAAGGGAAUUUUGUUUCCACGGUCAUCUUAUUUCUGUUAAUCCACAACGCCCAAGUAACAACAGCAAACUGACAAAGUUUUAUAUCAAUUAAUCCAUAAAUUAGUAAUCCAGAACUCAGGGUUAGCAUAUCUGUCUCAUCGUUCUGUCAAUGAGGGAAUUGAAAGUGAUGCUAACUUGAAGUGCCAUGAUAUAAUAAAGUACACAAGGGUCUGCAACACUUCCUAGUUGAUUAGAAAUGAGUGUUUGUUAAGCAAACCAUUGUGACAAAGAGAGAGUAUCUGGUGCCUCUUUUUUCUAGCAGGAGCAGGUGCCAACUGUUCACACCAACUGGUUGGCUGAUAAUGGACUUUUGUAUUUAUACAAAGGGCAUUAUAAUGAGUCAAAAUUCAUUGCAUAUUGCAUACACAUCACUGCAAAGCUAUGAUUUUAACUCUUAGAACAGUUCAUCCUCAAGGAAUACUGAUGACUGGUGAAGGUGGAAAGUUCAGUUAACACGUUUGGUCAAAUACUCAAAUGAAAGCAAAUAAUGUUCAAACUUGAGGCAGCAGGGAGCAUGUUGCAACCGCCUUACGUAGAUAUAUUAGACGUUAACUUCCACUCCCUCUUUGUUGUUAAUGUUUCCUUAUGGAGUCUGAACUCUCUGAAUUAAUUGCGUGUAAAAAAUUGAUAAAGAAAAUGUUUAUAGAAUCAUAUCCUUUUACAUGCUCUCAAGAAGUAUACAGUAUACACAUGUUUCCAUGUUGUAGUAUCAGCAUAUUUUGUUGCUGUUGUUGUUUUCUACAGGGAUACAAGAAGUGAAUGAAGUCUGAAGUUGUGCAUAUAAAUAAAUUUCCUAUCACAACUGAGGCUAAAAUGUCACUUUUUAUCUUGCAAAUUGUAAUACUUAUUGCAGUUCAGGUUUUCAUUUUUCUUCCCUUUUCGCGAGAUGAGCUGAGGCACAUUGCUUGAACCAGUCCUUACUUCAUCUGAACCUUUUCAUUUGAUAAACAAGAGCUACCAUUCUUUCAAGCUAUUAAUUCCAUCAGAUGCUUUGUAAGCAUCAGCGCUAUUGCUCAUGGCACUAGUGAUGAGUGUUCGGUUUGUGUUUUAAUCAAAUUAGGUUAUGUGGGACCACUGAUAGAGUCAUAUUCUGUAGUUGUGUCCGACGAUACACUUCUAGUGUGACCUGUGACGAUAUCCUGUAAAAGUGAAGUCUGGAUGUACUUCAUCUCCCAUUUUUUCAAGAAAAGCAUAGAUGCUGGUUAAGUUCCUUCCUCUGUUGAUCAUGCAGCAUGAUUCAUGCUAGGAAAGAAUCAGGGAAAAGGAAAGCUGAAGUGCCUGGGAUGAGGGUAUCUACAAGUCUGGGUGUUACGGACAUAGAGUAUGGGAUUAAGUAUCAGAGGCUCAGGAAUAAGGACUCAGAUUUGGAACAUGGUUCUGAAAUAAUUAACCUCUGCCUUGUACACAAGGUACAUGACUUAUCCUUGCAGUCCAAAGGCAGAACUUAGCUGCAGCAGAACUCCUUCGAAAGUUCAUUUGAUUGCCUUUUUGAUAUUGUGCUGUCCUGUGACCUGUCUUAGAAAUUAAGAUUUCAUACAUAGCCUCUCUCCAUAAUUGUAGCACUCUUAUCUUAUAUUUCCUCCAGUUGCAGUGUAUUAUAUUCUUUAUUCCA